rnacentral:rRNA from 1 species
GGUCUGUAGCAAUACAGAUGCUGGCGACCGGCAAACGGGUGCGGAACACGUACACAACCUUCCUUUAAGUGGGGGAUAGCCCGGCGAAAGCCGGAUUAAUACCCCGUAAAAUAUUGAAAAGGCAUCUUUUUAAUAUUAAAGCUCCGGCGCUUAAUGAUGGGUGUGCGCCUGAUUAGGUAGUUGGCGGGGUAACGGCCCACCAAGCCUGCGAUCAGUAACUGGUGUGAGAGCACGACCAGUCACACGGGCACUGAGACACGGGCCCGACUCCUACGGGAGGCAGCAGUAAGGAAUAUUGGUCAAUGGACGCAAGUCUGAACCAGCCAUGCCGCGUGGAGGAUGAAGGUCCUCUGGAUUGUAAACUUCUUUUAUCUGGGACGAAAAAGGGUCUUUCUAGAUCAACUGACGGUACCAGAUGAAUAAGCACCGGCUAACUCCGUGCCAGCAGCCGCGGUAAUACGGAGGGUGCAAGCGUUAUCCGGAUUCACUGGGUUUAAAGGGUGCGUAGGUGGGUCUGUAAGUCAGUGGUGAAAUCUCCGAGCUUAACUUGGAAACUGCCAUUGAUACUAUAGAUCUUGAAUACCGUGGAGGUCAGCGGAAUAUGUCAUGUAGCGGUGAAAUGCUUAGAUAUGACAUAGAACACCAAUUGCGAAGGCAGCUGGCUACACGAAUAUUGACACUGAUGCACGAAAGCGUGGGGAUCAAACAGGAUUAGAUACCCUGGUAGUCCACGCCCUAAACUAUGGAUACUCGACAUUUGCGAUACACUGUAAGUGUCUGAGCGAAAGCAUUAAGUAUCCCACCUGGGAAGUACGAUCGCAGAUUGAAACUC